rfam:Schistosoma haematobium scaffold128_5, whole genome shotgun sequence.
AUCCAGUCGACGAGUCCCAAAUAGGACGAAAACCGCAUCCUGGAU